rnacentral:sRNA from 16 species
UAACACUUGCGGUGUGGUCCAUAUCGGUUAGGUUUGAUGUGGAUGAGAAGGUCGGAUAAAGGCCACUAAGUUAAGCCGAGGAAGUGAGUUUGUGAAGUGCCGCGAUUCAAUCACUCCUCGGUUUUGCUAA